UGAGGAAUAUUGGUCAAUGGACGAGAGUCUGAACCAGCCAAGUAGCGUGCAGGAUGACGGCCCUCCGGGUUGUAAACUGCUUUUAGUUGGGAAUAAAGUUCGGGACGUGUCCCGAUUUGUAUGUACCAUCAGAAAAAGGACCGGCUAAUUCCGUGCCAGCAGCCGCGGUAAUACGGAAGGUCCGGGCGUUAUCCGGAUUUAUUGGGUUUAAAGGGAGCGUAGGCGGGCUAUUAAGUCAGCUGUGAAAUCCGGCGGCUCAACCGUCGGCCUGCAGUUGAUACUGGUGGUCUUGAGUGCGCGCAGGGGCGUUGGAAUUCAUGGUGUAGCGGUGAAAUGCUCAGAUAUCAUGAAGAACUCCGAUCGCGAAGGCAGAUGCCCGGAGCGCAACUGACGCUGAGGCUCGAAAGUGCGGGUA
rnacentral:rRNA from 1 species